UUUCCGUAGGUGAACCUGCGGAAGGAUCAUUGUCGAAACCUGCCCAGCAGAGCAACCUGCGAACGUGUACGUAAUAUUCGGAAAGCAAGCGGUGGCCUUGCAGCCCCAAUUGUGGCCCGCUGUUGGGGGGUGCACUCCGACCCCCUAAGGGGAGACGCGUGAACACCCCAACAAAAUAACGAAACCCGGCGCGAACCGCGCCAAGGAACUUUAAGAAAAAAAGAGAGCCUUCCCCCGAUGCCCUGUUCGCGGGUGCUAGGGGGGCAGUGUCAUCUCUCACGAAUCUAAACGACUCUCGGCAACGGAUAUCUCGGCUCUCGAAAUGCGAUACUUGGUGUGAAUUGCAGAAUCCCGUGAACCAUCGAGUUUUUGAACGCAAGUUGCGCCCGAAGCCAUUAGGUUGAGGGCACGUCUGCCUGGGCGUCUCACAUUGCGUCGUUCCCGAUCCCAACCACAACGGGUGUUGGUGUUCGGAAGCGGAUUUUGGCCCCCCGUACACUCGCGUAUGCGGUCGGCCUAAAAAUGAGUCCCUGGCGAUGCGUGUCACGACAAGUGGUGGUUGAUAAGCCGUUGCGUCCUGUCGUGCACUGCUUCGUCGCCGGCGGUUUCUCUAACGACCCUGAAGUGCCGUUGCAACGGUGCCUCGAUCGCGACCCCAGGUCAGGCGGGACUACCCGCUGAGUUUAA
rnacentral:sRNA from 1 species